rnacentral:rRNA from 1 species
UGAGUAACGCGUGAGUAACCUGCCUUUCAGAGGGGAAUAACAUUCUGAAAAGGAUGCUAAUACCGCAUGACAUCGUAGUAUCGCAUGGUACAGCGAUCAAAGGAGCAAUCCGCUGAAAGAUGGACUCGCGUCCGAUUAGAUAGUAGGCGGGGUAACGGCCCACCUAGUCGACGAUCGGUAGCCGGACUGAGAGGUUGAACGGCCACAUUGGGACUGAGACACGGCCCAGACUCCUACGGGAGGCAGCAUG